CACAGGUCUUGCAAUUUUACAUUUAUAUAUUAGCAUUCUGGGUUUUUACGUGUAUGUAUAGAUAAGUACACCAGAGCUGACAAUUCUCUUUCGCCCAUUCAGCCUCAGACUACGGAGCAGUGCAAGGACCCCCUGGGCCCCCUGGAACUCCAGGAUCUCCAGGAUCUCCAGGGCCAGCAGGACGGGAGGGACGCAAAGGGGAUUCAGGAUCUCCAGGUGCUCCUGGCUCUCCAGGAAAUUCCAGAGAUUCUGGGGCCUCUCGGGGUCUUCCUGGACCCCCUGGUCUACCUGGGCGACCCGGAACGCCGGGAACACCUGGACAAUCUGGACAAUCUGGGGGCUCGUACUCUACAUCCGAAUUCAGUCGCUACAUCUCUGACUACUUCCAGAGUAAGACUGGACUGCUCGUCUUCAUUUACCUUCAGUCCAUGUAUAACCUUUUUAUUGGAGUACUUGUGGAU
rnacentral:lncRNA from 1 species